UACGUAGGGAGCGAGCGUUUGUCCGGAUUCAUUGGGCGUAAAGAGCUCGUAGGCGGCUUGGCAAGUCGGGUGUGAAAACUCCAGGCUCAACCUGGAGACGCCACCCGAUACUGCCAUGGCUAGAGUCCGGUAGGGGACCACGGAAUUCCUGGUGUAGCGGUGAAAUGCGCAGAUAUCAGGAGGAACACCGGUGGCGAAGGCGGCUUGCUGGGCCAGUUCUGACGCUGAGGAGCGAAAGCGUGGGGAGCGAACAGG
rnacentral:rRNA from 1 species